rnacentral:ncRNA from 2 species
UCACCAUCCCGAGCGGCCGAGAGAUCUGGUUCUAUGACGCCGCAGCAACUCCCGGCCCACCCGGAUAAGUGCUACCGCCAGAAACGAUGGAGA